rnacentral:rRNA from 1 species
UACGAAGGGGGCUAGCGUUGCUCGGAAUGACUGGGCGUAAAGGGCGCGUAGGCGGAUGGCACAGUCAGAUGUGAAAUUCCCGGGCUUAACCUGGGGGCUGCAUUUGAUACGUGUUGUCUUGAGUUCGGAAGAGGGUCGUGGAAUUCCCAGUGUAGAGGUGAAAUUCGUAGAUAUUGGGAAGAACACCGGUGGCGAAGGCGGCGACCUGGUCCGACACUGACGCUGAGGCGCGAAAGCGUGGGGGAGCAAACAGGG